rnacentral:rRNA from 1 species
GACGAACCGUGCGACCGUUGUUCGGAAUCACUGGGCUUAAAGGGCGCGUAGGCGGGUCUUCAAGUUUGGGGUGAAAUCCUCCGGCUCAACCGGAGAACUGCCUCGAAUACUGAAGGUCUCGAGGGGGAUAGGGGCAUGCGGAACUACGGGUGGAGCGGUGAAAUGCGUUGAUAUCCGUAGGAACUCCGGUGGCGAAGGCGGCGUGCUGGAUCCCUUCUGACGCUGAGGCGCGAAAGCCAGGGGAGCAAACGGG